GAAUUAUCCAUUAUAAAUUUGUGACAAAUUGUGUUAUCCGUGACAAAUUUGUGACGAAUUGAAUUAUCCGUUACAAAUUUUUGUGGACAAAAUAUAUUUUGUAACAAAUUUGUUACGGAAUUGUGUUUUCCAUUUAAAAUUUGUGACGGAUAAUUUAAUCAGUCACAAAUGCUUAUUUUAGAAUUUUCUAACCAAACUAUUAUUUUUAUGUAGCUUAAAUUUUGAAUAUGUUUUUAUGGAUCUGAAUUGUGACUCAACCUGAAAAC
rnacentral:misc_RNA from 1 species